CUAUGAUGUCAGAUGAUAUACCUGGAUCAAAACGGGAACAUUAGUUACGAAAUCUGACCCAGCGUUGAACUUUACACAUGUAGCUCAGUUAGACACACGCAACUCGCAGAGAUGUUUACACAUUCUCAUGGUAAUUUGAUACAUUCGCGAGAGUUUUGCAGACAUUUAGAGCAACUAUAUGGAUUAAUAUUCAACACGAUUUGUAGAAAAUGAAGUUUGCACUGAUAAUUGUGAUGAUUUUGAGAGAUUCAACAAUCAAAGCAGAAAGUUCUCCACUGACUACAACGAAUUUAUGUUGACCUUAUUUAUCAUGACGAUAGAUGUCGAUUGAAAAGAAUUUUAAUGUUACAUUAUAAAUAAAAUUAUUUAUAAAGAUGAAA